GCUGGGCGUGGUGGCGGGCACCUGUAGUCCCAGCUACUCGGGAGGCUGAGGCAGGAGAAUCACUUGAACCCGGGAGGCGGAGGCUGCAGUGAGCCAAGAUUGUGCCACUGCAGUCCAGCCUGGGUGACAGAGCGAGACUCUGUCUCAA
rnacentral:SRP_RNA from 1 species